AUGAAAGUACAGUAUCCUAAAUGUUAACAAUAAAAGAAAUUCUUACCUGUGCUUUAACAUGGAAUAGUACAUAUACUGAACAGUAAAG